GGAUCAGAGACUCACAAGGCCACAUGCUAUUCUAGGGGGUCAGAACUUACAAAGCACAGUCCAGUCACCAUAGGGUCACUGGUUCUGCUGUUUUACAGAAGAACCUGGGCCUCAGGGAAGAGCUGGCUCUGGUAUACUCCUGCGUAGCCCCAGGAGAAGGACCUUUUUUCUGCCUCUGGAGUUUCAACAGCCUAUUCUAGUGUUCAAGGCUGUGGGCACGACUCCAAGGAGCCCCAUUUUCUGAACAUGCAGUGGCAUACUUCAGAGGGCAGCCUCACUACACAGAGAGAGCAGCAUGCUGGACAAGUGCUGAGCAUGGACCCCACGCAUGGAUGGACGUGAGCCCCCAGCUCAAAGACGACACAUGGAGAAGGGAGCCAAG